UGCAACUCGCCUACAUGAAGUCGGAAUUGCUAGUAAUCGCGGAUCAGCAUGCCGCGGUGAAUACGUUCCCGGGCCUUGUACACACCGCCCGUCACACCAUGGGAGUCGGUAACACCCGAAGCCUGUAGUCUAACCGCAAGGGGGACGCAGUCGAAGGUGGGAUUGAUGACUGGGGUGAAGUCGUAACAAGGUACC
rnacentral:rRNA from 1 species